rnacentral:lncRNA from 1 species
AAAUUAUUACAACCAACAUCUUUGUAUGUCAAGACUCCAUGAGAGUGUCUUAAGACCUUGCAUCUCACAUGAAAGCAGAAUCAGUUAUUAUAAAUGAGUCAAAGAAGAGGAUGAAUAACUGUGCUUCCA